AACAACCACACACGGAAGACGGGCUCACCUCCUCUCCCUCUCGCCCACGAUGUCCUCGCGGCCGCCACCACCCAUGCCGUCCGCUUCCGGUGAGCUCCGGUGCCACGCACCAUGCCCCUGAGCUCCCAACGGUCCUCUGCUCCCUCCCCUCCAGCCAGAUUCUCUGCUCCCGGCCUCUAUCGCCCGCUCGCAACCCCAUCCCCAUGGCUAGGGUUUCAGGCAGGGCUUCGCCGGCGUCAAGGGCAUAUUCACGGAGAUGUGAAGGACGCCAUGGACCUGCAGCUCCUCAUGGUUUUAUCAUGUUCCUAUCUCAUCCGCUCCCUUUCCCGUCCCUUCCCCAUCUCGGUUCCUUCCCUUCUUGCGCAGGUCAGCGGGGAGGAACCCUAGCCGGCAGCACCUCCUCACUUUGGAUGACGCCUCUGCUGCGCCAAGAUAGGGCAAGCAACCCCAUCUGCUCUCAAUCUCUCCCAUUAGCACAAGUCCAGUUUUUUUGAACAAAAUUCUGCUACUACACGAACAAGUCCAUGAAUAGAUCUAUUUUUAUUUGUGAAUUGAUAUCCUUCCAAACACAAACAGUGUAUAUAUUGCUGUUUUUAUUUUUGUACCCUUUUCAUUUUUGUGCUUUUAUAUGUAAGCUGAUAAAAUAGUUAUACUAAAAAUGACAUGUAAGUUCUUACUGUGGGAGUAUGACGACAUGAAAUUCUAACUGAAUUCUUUUCAGCUGGAAAAUGCCUUUCUGCAAACAGGAAAUAAAUUAUUCAAUUCUUGGUUCCACAUAGUCCUAAUUUCUUACAGUUUUAUCUCUGUUCAAUCUAUCUUACUGAAUUUCUGAACAACCAGGGUUGCUAGCAUGCUGUGUGGUGGAUUUGUUUUUUGUUUUUUUGAAAUUGUUUCACGGCUAUUUGAGUGCUUUUGUUCGUUCUGUUCAUCAGUUCUUUCUGGUGUAGUGACUCAAGAAGUGAUUCUUCUGCAAAGUGAUGUGCUCUCAAUGGAGCCAGGCUCCAGGAAAGGUGACCAAGUGGUGUGUGUUUACCUAGCCGAGCAUAAUCUGAACGACUCCAACUGUUGUGUACAAAUCCAGCUAUGCAAGUGCAAGUAAAACUACGGUGGUUGUUGCAUCCACAGGCUGAGUACAACGCAGGCUGACUACUAGGAGCCAGUAUGACAAGUCCACAAAGAUCUCCAGUACUGACAAGGCUCAGUCUGUACAAGGGGGUGUCUCAGUCUGGUUUGCCGGAGGUCUUCAUCGCUAUGUUGAAUCACAUGCUCCUUAUAGUCUAAUGCAAGUUGCUCAUAUUCAGAAAAUUGGUUACUCUUGAAUGAGGAAAUAAGGUGUUGAUAUAAGCAUUAACAUUAGAGUACACAAUCAGGAACUAACUAAAGCAUUAACAUUGUAUAGACUGUAUACCAUAGUUUUAAAUAGCCGGCUAUAGCCCUGCUAUAGCUCUGCUAUAGCUGUUUGAGGGUGUUGCCGCUAAAUGAUUUCAUGUACAAUUUGCCGCUAUAGCCCGCUAUAGUCCAGCUAUAGUUGUUUUUAAGGGUCGCCGCUAAAUGCCAUAGCCUGCUAUUUAAAACAUUGUUGUAUACAUUAAAACAAUCAAUGCCGAUGCUAAUUUCAGCCUUUUAUUUCUGGAGUCAAGGAAUAACCUUUAUUUGAAUGUUUAUAUUUUUAUUUCAAUUGGAAACAAUCUUGAUGCACCAUUGAAGUUAUUUAAUAAGAACUAUCAACUACUCCUUUUCUAUUUUUGCAUAUUAAUGGUCCCAGGUACUCAACUGAGGAACACACCAUGCCACUUCGAAUCAAUAUUAUCACCAUGUAUGGAAGAUACCAGGAACCAUGACUUUCUGAUGAAUAUUCUUAUGCCAUAGAAGUUUCUCACUUAUAUAAAUUAAAUUUAACUCACAGUAUAGAAUGCACUUAGUAAAAUAAAAAAGAUCAGAACAAAAGUAGGAAUUUUCCCCAAAGAAUUAUGUUUACACUUCUCCUACUGUGUAGUGGUUGGUUUAGUUUUACCCUGUCAAGAAAAAAUCAUAUAUAGUUCUCCAGAAUUGGCCUGGCUUAUCACAUUGCGAAGAUCGACACUGUGGUAGUUCCCUUUGUAAACAUGUACUUUCAGUCGUGGUGAUAUUUUUCAACCUAGAUGUAUCACAUCAUGCAAGUUAGAUAAAGAAUACAAAUAAGAAAUAACUAGGCCAUAUUAAUGGUGGUUUCACUCUAAAUAGGACUAAGCAUAAGCUUGUAAAAUAAAGAGCACAUUAGUUGAUUCUCUACAUAUAAUAUCACUACAUAUUGCAUUCAGGUUGUAUAAGACUGAAUUUGUUUUUUCUGUUCGGUUCCGCAGAUGUCAGUGUGAUUUGGUCACUGCUUUCGGAAAGUGUAGGUCAGUGGGUUACAUUUUAGAAGAUAACACAAUAAGAUUGGUGAUGCCUUAUGGACACAUCGCUGUUAAGGAUAAUGCUUUUGCAAUGAGUAUUGACAUUUCUGGUUGGUAUAAUGCAACACGGUGGAAUCUCUUUGUAACAUUGCAACUGAAUAUCUUGCGUGCAAUUCAAGGUGUACAGUGAUGUCGAGUACACCGGGUUUUCAGAACUGCCCCAAGUGCAAGCUCUACAUUGACAGAGUGGAUGCUUGCACCUUGCACCUGCAGCCCCCAUUUAUGUGGAUGGUUCGGCAUAUCCAUAUAAGCUUUGUCUUGCAAUGAUGGUCCAAAGUUUCAAAAAAUAUAUUAUAUGAAGUUUCAAAUUACUUUUUAAAAGUUUGAUGCAUCUCAAGGACAGUUAGUGGUUGUGUCCCGUAUCUAAGUAGCACACAAUUGUUGAAGGGUCAUGACAGAAUCAGAAUUUCCAGCAUUCCUUUUCCAAGGUAGCAUGGAUUCGGGAACUUAUUCAUCAGACUAAUUAGAGAAUAUUUUUACUAAUCUGGGCCGGAUAACGUGGCGGCUCGAGUGACUAGGGGCGGCGCGGCUGCUAGAUGCAGAACAGCGGUGGAUGCUGGAGCUUGAAGGGUCCAGAUCCGUGCGCGAUAGGGGUUGGGGAGGCAGAUCCAGAGAUGGGCGACGAGGAGAGGGUCGCUGGUGACGACGAGGAAGGCCAGAGCGCGUCUUCCCAGGUGGAUCCAUGGCAUCCGUGACUCCUGGGCAGAAAGGAGACAUGGAGGUGAGGGAUAGAAGGAGGCGCGGUGCGGCGACCUUACGUACUGAAGUUCACUUCAGAAAUCUGGAGAACUAGCUGUAACCCCCUUCUCAUAUCCUUGCACAGGUAAGCAACAAAGUUUGUUUUGGUGAUUUUUGCCUUCUUUGAUUGAUACUUUUGAAGCAUCUGAUGGGUCUCAUCUGUUUGUCAAUUCGUCGGUUUACUGUAGCCUAUAUAGCUGUUGCCGACAGUAGACUAUAUUUGAUUGACAAGCAACACAUCAUGCACUCCUACAUACAUGGAUUCUGUUUGUACUUGACAGCAACAGACUACUCCAAUGUAUGAAUAUGUUUGUUUAAAAAUGGCAGAAUGUGUAUGAAUAUUAACUUCAUACAUGGAGUAAAUUCGUAAAAGAUGUAUGGGAUGAGUUUACUGAUAAAAAAAGAAUAUAGAAUGUCUGAAUGACCCCAAUGUACCUAGCUCUCACCGCCAUAUAGCUAGCACAAGAGCUUAAAAGCAAAGUGCCAGCAUGCCUCAUACAUGUUCCAAGAUAAACUAGAACAUAGCUACAAAUGUAGUGCGUCAGCAACGUUGUCUGCUACUCUGCUUCACAUACAGCGUCAUUGCACAUUCAGUUAGGUACGUGCAGGACCUUGCAACAUUCAGUCAAGCAAGUAGCCGCUGUUGUUGGAACGCCGUUGUGUGGGCAGUGCUGAAGGAGUCGGCUCGUCCUCGGAUUAGAGCAGUGCCGAGUCCGCCGGAUCGUCCUCGCAGUGGGGAAGUCCCGAGGCUGCCGGGUCGCAAUCGAGUGCAGCAGCGCCGCGGCCACCGGGUCGCCGCCUGAUAGAACAACACCAAGGCUACCAGGCCAUCGUAGCGUCAAGCAGCGCCGAGGGCCCAUCUUUUUUUAUUUGUACUAUAACAAUAUGAAGUUUGUAUUUUAACAAUCUUUGAUUAUUUUACAUGUAUUAUGUCCAGCUUGCUGUUGCGAGUCCUUGUUUAUUCUUGUGACGAAUUUAACUAUGA